rnacentral:rRNA from 1 species
AGUGAACGCUGGCGGUAGGCCUAACACAUGCAAGUCGAACGGCAGCACAGUAAGAGCUUGCUCUUACGGGUGGCGAGUGGCGGACGGGUGAGGAAUACAUCGGACUCUACUUUUUCGUGGGGGAUAACGUAGGGAAACUUACGCUAAUACCGCAUACGACCUACGGGUGAAAGCAGGGGAUCUUCGGACCUUGCGCGAUUGAAUGAGCCGAUGUCGGAUUAGCUAGUUGGCGGGGUAAAGGCCCACCAAGGCGCCGAUCCGUAGCUGGUCUGAGAGGAUGAUCAGCCACCCUGGAACUGAGACACGGUCCAGACUCCUACGGGAGGCCGCAGUGGGGAAUAUUGGACAAUGGGCGCAAGCCUUAUCCAGCCAUACCGCGUGGGUGAAGAAGGCCUUCGGGUUGUAAAGCCCUUUUGUUGGGAAAGAAAAGCAGCAGGUUAAUACCCCGCUGUUCUGACGGUACCCAAAGAAUAAGCACCGGCUAACUUCGUG